GAUGAAGAACGUAGCGAAAUGCGAUAAGUAAUGUGAAUUGCAGAAUUCAGUGAAUCAUCGAAUCUUUGAACGCACAUUGCGCCCGCCAGUAUUCUGGCGGGCAUGCCUGUCCGAGCGUCAUUUCAACCCUCGCGCCCAUCUGGGCUGCGGUGUUGGGGACCGACCUGCCCCCCCGGGGCGCGCCGCCCCCCAAAUUCAGUGGCGGUCUCGCUGCAGCCUCCCUUGCGUAGUAGCACACCUCGCACCGGAGCGCAGCGCGGCCACGCCGUAAAACCCCCGACCCCCAUGAGUUUGACCUCGGAUCAGGUAGGAAUACCCGCUGAACUUAAGCAUAUCAAUAAGCGGAGGA
rnacentral:misc_RNA from 1 species